CAAGAAAUUGGGAUGGAAAUGGAACAUCGAUUAAUCUAUAGAGGUGAAAAUGAAAUUUACCCAAAAAAUUAACCAAACGCUCUAACUAAUUUCCAACUCCUCCAUCGACCUUCAUCUUCGAAGAUAACGACCUGCGGUCAAUUAGUCACAGAUUCUUCUAGAAAUCAGGAUAUAUUGCAUUUCGAUCCGUGCAAUUCAGUUCAUUUACCACUGUAAGUUCUGCUAGGGUUUAGUCAGUCUGCUUGUUAUUCCAUUGCUCAGCUUCGAUUCUUCGAAGUCGGGGAUCAGACAUGGCUGCGGAGGACGGUACGGCGCAAGAAUAUGUGCCACAGAAGAAGAAUAAAGAGCCUACCGAGACCGAGAAGAGGAGAAAGAAAAUUGUGCCUGGAAGUUUAAUGAAAGCUGAAAUUAGACCAGGAGGAGGUGAUGCGAGACCAUCUGAUGGUGAUCAGGUCAUAUAUCAUUGCACUGUUAGGACAUUAGCUGGAGUUGUUGUUGAGUCUACAAGAUCAGAAUAUGGAGGCAAGGGCACUCCAAUACGACAGGUUUUGGGAAAAAGCAAGAUGUUAUUAGGAUUACUUGAAGGGCUUCCAACAAUGUUGAGUGGUGAAGUUGCAAUGUUCAAGAUGAAACCUCAAAUGCAUUAUUCUGAGGCGGACUGUCCAGUUUCACCUCCAAGUAGCUUUCCAAGGGAUGAUGAACUUCAUUUUGAGAUUGAGAUGAUAGACUUUUCGAAAGUCAAGGUUGUCAGUGAUGAUUUAGGAGUCAUAAAGAAGGUAAUAGAUGAAGGGCAGGGUUGGGAGUCGCCAAGAGAACCAUAUGAAGUAAAAGCUUGGAUUUCUGCGAAGACAGGAGAUGACAAAGUAAUUCUAUCGCCCAAACAAGGAGAACCUUAUUUCUUUACUAUUGGAAAAUCUGAGGUACCUAAAGGUCUUGAGAUGGGAAUUGGAACUAUGACACGAGAAGAGAAGGCAGUAAUAUAUGUUACCAAUCAGUACUUGACUGAAUCUCCGCUCAUGUCCGUGGUAGGUCUUGAGGAAGUUCAGUUCGAAGUAGAGCUUAUCCAUUUCACUCAGGUGAGGGACAUGCUUGGAGAUGGACGCUUGAUAAAGCGUCGGCUUCGUGAUGGAAAAGGUGAGUUUCCUAUGGAUUGCCCACUUCAGGACAGUCUACUACGGGUUCAUUACAAGGGUAUGCUGCUUAAUGAAGAAAAGACAGUCGUCAUUGAUACAAGAAUUGAUAAUGAUGGUCAGCCUUUGGAGUUCAGCUCUGGAGAAGGGCUUGUGCCUGAAGGUUUUGAAAUGUGUGUGCGCUUAAUGCUUCCUGGAGAGGUAGCUCUUGUUACUUGCCCUCCUGACUACGCAUAUGACAAGUUUACCAGACCGGCAAAUGUUCCUGAAGGUGCUCAUAUUGAAUGGGAAAUUGAGCUUCUUGGUUUUGAGAUGCCAAAGGAUUGGACUGGUUUGGACUUUCAGGGUGUAAUGGAUGAAGCAGAGAAGAUCAGAACCACAGGAAACAGGCUUUUCAAAGAAGGAAAGUUUGAGCUUGCUAAGGCAAAAUAUGAGAAGGUUCUUCGAGAAUUUAAUCAUGUUAAUCCACAAGAUGACGAGGAAGGGAAAGUUUUCCUGAAUACAAGAAAUUUGUUAAAUCUAAAUGUCGCUGCAUGCCACCUCAAAUUAGGGGAAUGCAGAAAGUCCAUUGAGACAUGCAAUAAGGUUCUGGAAGCAAAUCCUGCACACGUCAAGGCCCUUUAUCGCCGUGGAAUGGCCUACAUGGAAGUUGGAGAUUUUGAGGAAGCAAGAAGUGAUUUUGAAAUGAUGUUGAAAGUCGACAAAUCAUCUGAACUUGAUGCAACAGCAGCUCUUAAAAAACUGAAGCAGAAGCAGCAGGAUGUCGAGAAGAAGGCACGGAGACAAUUUAAAGGACUAUUUGACAAGAAGCCAGGGGAAAUUGCAGAUGCUGGAACUGACGACAGAGGAGAAGAGCAGAGUACAAGUGAAAAUCAGAAGAAUGGUGAUCAGGAGGAUUCAAAUGGGACUGACACAGAGGAUGUUGAAGAUGUGGCCGAUGAACCUAGAGAAGGAUUGUUCUCCCGCUUGUGGCCAACUGGUAGAAGAUUGUUUUCAGCUCUCGGGCUUCAAAGAUGUGCGAUAUUGUGACAAAGCUGUAGAUCAGCAUUAUUUUUGUCACAGGCUGGAAAAAAUCUGACUUUGAAAGGAAAAAACACAUCAAAGAAGCGCUAAAAGGAGGAUCAAAAAGUAAAGAUUGAAGGCUAGAUUGUAUUCACAUAAGAUUUUCAAUUUCAAGUUCUAUAGCAAGCAACACAAACUUUCUAAGUGUGGUUUUAUGGGUUUUGUUCAAAACCAAUAGAGAAUGGCUUUUAUUCAAAAAAAAAUAUCGUUUUCUUUAUCUUUGGAGAUUCUACCUUGGUCUUGGUUUUACAACUUAAUAUUGUUGAGUUUUGAAGUUCAACCAAUCGAACACGUUCAUAUAUAAAAUAAGAACAGAUAUAAGAGAAAGUGGUUACAAAAAGAAAUUCAAGUCAAAUUGUCAGUUUUUUUUCUAAUUUCUGACAGAAAUUUAUAUUCUUAUAUAAAUUUAUAUUUUUUUA